rnacentral:rRNA from 1 species
GGUUAAGCGACUAAGCGUACACGGUGGAUGCCCUGGCAGUCAGAGGCGAUGAAGGGCGUGCUAAUCUGCGAUAAGCGCCGGUAAGGUGAUAUGAACCGUUAUAACCGGCGAUACCCGAAUGGGGAAACCCAGUGUGAUUCGUCACACUAUCAUUAACUGAAUCCAUAGGUUAAUGAGGCGAACCGGGGGAACUGAAACAUCUAAGUACCCCGAGGAAAAGAAAUCAACCGAGAUUCCCCCAGUAGCGGCGAGCGAACGGGGAGGAGCCCAGAGCCUGAAUCAGCAUGUGUGUUAGUGGAAGCGUCUGGAAAGGCGCGCGAUACAGGGUGACAGCCCCGUACACAAAAGCGCAUGUGCUGUGAGCUCGAUGAGUAGGGCGGGACACGUGGUAUCCUGUCUGAAUAUGGGGGGACCAUCCUCCAAGGCUAAAUACUCCUGACUGACCGAUAGUGAACCAGUACCGUGAGGGAAAGGCGAAAAGAACCCCGGCGAGGGGAGUGAAAAAGAACCUGAAACCGUGUACGUACAAGCAGUGGGAGCCCCACCACUAAGCCAGUGGUGAACUCCACAUACGCAUCCUUUGCUGAGGAUACGGUUAACGGAGCGAAAGCGACGUUCAACCUCAAAAGAAGCAGAGGGGGCUUAGUGGUGGGGUGACUGCGUACCUUUUGUAUAAUGGGUCAGCGACUUAUAUUCUGUAGCAAGGUUAACCGAAUAGGGGAGCCGGAGGGAAACCGAGUCUUAAUUGGGCGUUAAGUUGCAGGGUAUAGACCCGAAACCCGGUGAUCUAGCCAUGGGCAGGUUGAAGGUUGGGUAACACUAACUGGAGGACCGAACCGACUAAUGUUGAAAAAUUAGCGGAUGACCUGUGGCUGGGGGUGAAAGGCCAAUCAAACCGGGAGAUAGCUGGUUCUCCCCGAAAGCUAUUUAGGUAGCGCCUCGUGAACUCAUCUCCGGGGGUAGAGCACUGUUUCGGCUAGGGGGCCAUCCCGGCUUACCAACCCGAUGCAAACUGCGAAUACCGGAGAAUGUUAUCACGGGAGACACACGGCGGGUGCUAACGUCCGUCGUGAAGAGGGAAACAACCCAGACCGCCAGCUAAGGUCCCAAAGUCAUGGUUAAGUGGGAAACGAUGUGGGAAGGCCCAGACAGCCAGGAUGUUGGCUUAGAAGCAGCCAUCAUUUAAAGAAAGCGUAAUAGCUCACUGGUCGAGUCGGCCUGCGCGGAAGAUGUAACGGGGCUAAACCAUGCACCGAAGCUGCGGCAGCGAACGUAUCACCCAAGACAACUUUACGGAGUUGACGAUUGACGGAGCGAAGCGACGUCAAAGCGUUCAUUAAAGUCGAGUUGGCUUAGGGAUACGUUCGUUGGGUAGGGGAGCGUUCUGUAAGCCUGUGAAGGUGGCCUGUGAGGGUUGCUGGAGGUAUCAGAAGUGCGAAUGCUGACAUAAGUAACGAUAAAGCGGGUGAAAAGCCCGCUCGCCGGAAGACCAAGGGUUCCUGUCCAACGUUAAUCGGGGCAGGGUGAGUCGACCCCUAAGGCGAGGCCGAAAGGCGUAGUCGAUGGGAAACGGGUUAAUAUUCCCGUACUUGGUGUUACUGCGAAGGGGGGACGGAGAAGGCUAUGUUGGCCGGGCGACGGUUGUCCCGGUUUAAGCGUGUAGGCUGGUUUUCCAGGCAAAUCCGGAAAAUCAAGGCUGAGGCGUGACGACGAGGCACUACGGUGCUGAAGCAACAAAUGCCCUGCUUCCAGGAAAAGCCUCUAAGCAUCAGGUAACAUCAAAUCGUACCCCAAACCGACACAGGUGGUCAGGUAGAGAAUACCAAGGCGCUUGAGAGAACUCGGGUGAAGGAACUAGGCAAAAUGGUGCCGUAACUUCGGGAGAAGGCACGCUGACAUGUAGGUGAAGUGAUUUACUCAUGGAGCUGAAGUCAGUCGAAGAUACCAGCUGGCUGCAACUGUUUAUUAAAAACACAGCACUGUGCAAACACGAAAGUGGACGUAUACGGUGUGACGCCUGCCCGGUGCCGGAAGGUUAAUUGAUGGGGUCAGCGCAAGCGAAGCUCCUGAUCGAAGCCCCGGUAAACGGCGGCCGUAACUAUAACGGUCCUAAGGUAGCGAAAUUCCUUGUCGGGUAAGUUCCGACCUGCACGAAUGGCGUAAUGAUGGCCAGGCUGUCUCCACCCGAGACUCAGUGAAAUUGAACUCGCUGUGAAGAUGCAGUGUACCCGCGGCAAGACGGAAAGACCCCGUGAACCUUUACUAUAGCUUGACACUGAACAUUGAGCCUUGAUGUGUAGGAUAGGUGGGAGGCUUUGAAGUGUGGACGCCAGUCUGCAUGGAGCCGACCUUGAAAUACCACCCUUUAAUGUUUGAUGUUCUAACGUGGACCCGUUACCCGGGUUGCGGACAGUGUCUGGUGGGUAGUUUGACUGGGGCGGUCUCCUCCUAAAGAGUAACGGAGGAGCACGAAGGUUGGCUAAUCCUGGUCGGACAUCAGGAGGUUAGUGCAAUGGCAUAAGCCAGCUUGACUGCGAGCGUGACGGCGCGAGCAGGUGCGAAAGCAGGUCAUAGUGAUCCGGUGGUUCUGAAUGGAAGGGCCAUCGCUCAACGGAUAAAAGGUACUCCGGGGAUAACAGGCUGAUACCGCCCAAGAGUUCAUAUCGACGGCGGUGUUUGGCACCUCGAUGUCGGCUCAUCACAUCCUGGGGCUGAAGUAGGUCCCAAGGGUAUGGCUGUUCGCCAUUUAAAGUGGUACGCGAGCUGGGUUUAGAACGUCGUGAGACAGUUCGGUCCCUAUCUGCCGUGGGCGCUGGAGAACUGAGGGGGCUGCUCCUAGUACGAGAGGACCGGAGUGGACGCAUCACUGGUGUUCGGGUUGUCAUGCCAAUGGCACUGCCCGGUAGCUAAAUGCGGAAGAGAUAAGUGCUGAAAGCAUCUAAGCACGAAACUUGCCCCGAGAUGAGUUCUCCCUGAGACUUAGAGUCUCCUGAAGGAACGUUGAAGACGACGACGUUGAUAGGCCGGGUGUGUAAGCGCAGCGAUGCGUUGAGCUAACCGGUACUAAUGAACCGUGAGGCUUAACCUU